UGGGGAAUAUUGCACAAUGGGCGAAAGCCUGAUGCAGCGACGCCGCGUGCGGGAUGACGGCCUUCGGGUUGUAAACCGCUUUCGGCAGGGAAGAAGCCGCAAGGUGACGGUACCUGCAGAAGAAGCGCCGGCUAACUACGUGCCAGCAGCCGCGGUAAUACGUAGGGCGCAAGCGUUGUCCGGAAUUAUUGGGCGUAAAGAGCUCGUAGGCGGUUCGUCGCGUCUGCUGUGAAAUCCUCAGGCUCAACCUGGGGCGUGCAGUGGGUACGGGCGGACUAGAGUGCGGUAGGGGUGACUGGAAUUCCUGGUGUAGCGGUGGAAUGCGCAGAUAUCAGGAGGAACACCGAUGGCGAAGGCAGGUCACUGGGCCGCAACUGACGCUGAGGAGCGAAAGCAUGGGGAGCGAACAGGAUUAGAUAGCCCUGGCAGUCCAUGCCGUAAACGCUGGGCACUAGGUGUGGGGUCCAUUCCACGGAUUCCGUGCCGCAGCAAAGCGCAUUAAGUGCCCCGCCUGGGGAGUACGGCCGCAAGGCUAAAACUUAAAUGAAUUGACGGGGUCAAAGCUGUUUCCU
rnacentral:rRNA from 1 species